GAAGCCUCAGCAGUGUGAGAAAGGAAGGAGGCUAUUUUUAGCACUGUGGCCAGGGUGUGAAUGUCUAUAGAACUGCGCAGGUCCUGCAGCUUUCUUCGCAUAGACCGAAGACGACGACCUGUUGGCUUUUAAAGGUCAGAGCCAGUCGGGCAGCAUAACGAGCGAUGAGCCGAUGUUCCUCGUCCAGUCGGCUAGGACUGUCCAGAACACUGCUGAGGAGAUAAACAUCCAGUAGGCUAAAACAACUGUUCUGAGAGACCAAGAAGCUGUAACAACUGCACAGAAACCUGGUGGACAAGAAGGUGCUCUAGAUGAUACCAUGUGCAUCAGGCCUCUCCUCCUUCCCAUGCUCUACGGCCUCCCUGGUCCUCCAAGGUAUAGGAGAGGAAAGGGUCCCGAAGGAAUGCUGCUUCUUAGUCACACUGGGAAGACUACAGGGGAAUGGGAUGGGCCACAAUAUUAAGGGAGCACUUUUCACAGUCUGCUUUCCCCACUGAUUGUCAUUCCUCUGUUAUCGUAGGGACUAGGAGUAAGUCUCAAAUGACCUUUCCAAGGAGCUUGGGCCAGAGGUGGUCAAAACUAAAAUUAAAACUUAAAGUUCC